rnacentral:rRNA from 1 species
GAUGAACGCUGGCGGCGUGCCUAACACAUGCAAGUCGAGCGAUUUACUUCGGUAAAGAGCGGCGGACGGGUGAGUAACGCGCGGGUAACCUGCCCUGUACACACGGAUAACAUACCGAAAGGUAUGCUAAUACGAGAUAAUAUACUUUUAUCGCAUGGUAGAAGUAUCAAAGCUUUUGCGGUACAGGAUGGACCCGCGUCUGAUUAGCUAGUUGGUAAGGUAACGGCUUACCAAGGCGACGAUCAGUAGCCGACCUGAGAGGGUGAUCGGCCACAUUGGAACGGAGACACGGUCCAAACUCCUACGGGAGGCAGCAGUGGGGAAUAUUGCACAAUGGGCGAAAGCCUGAUGCAGCGACGCCGCGUGAGCGAUGAAGGCCUUCGGGUCGUAAAGCUCUGUCCUCAAGGAAGAUAAUGACGGUACUUGAGGAGGAAGCCCCGGCUAACUACGUGCCAGCCGCCGCCGUAA